rnacentral:rRNA from 1 species
CUGCGAGUGAACCGGGAAAAGCUCAAAUUUUGAAUCUGGUAGUCUGUUGGCUGCCCGAGUUGUAAUCUAGAGAAGCGUUUUCCGCGCUGGACCGUGUACAAGUCUCCUGGAAGGGAGCGUCAUAGAGGGUGAGAAUCCCGUCUUUGACACGGACUACCAGUGCUAUGUGAUGCGCUCUCGACGAGUCGAGUUGUUUGGGAAUGCAGCUCAAAAUGGGUGGUAAAUUCCAUCUAAAGCUAAAUACAGGCGAGAGACCGAUAGCGAACAAGUACCGUGAGGGAAAGAUGAAAAGAACUUUGGAAAGAGAGUUAAACAGUACGUGAAAUUGCUGAAAGGGAAACGCUUGAUGUCAGUCACGUCGGCCAGGGAUCAACCUUGCAAUUCGUUGCUGGGUGCAUUUCCUGGUCGAUGGGUCAGCAUCAGUUUCUGUCGCCGUACAAUGGCAAAGGGAAUGUGGCACUCUUUCGGGAGUGUGUUAUAGCCUUUUGUCCUAUGCGGUGGUUGGGACUGAGGAACUCGGCACGACUUUUCGUCUGUGUCUAGGAUGCUGGCAUAAUGG